rnacentral:snRNA from 1 species
GGAUGCGAGGGUAAUCUGGCUGCGACAUCUGUCGCCCUGUUGAUCAAGGCUGGCUCCGCAGAUCUAGCUGGCUGGCUUGGGUGUCCUGUCCUCCCUCACCACUCCACCUGCCUUCCCCCAGAGCUGCAAACCUCGACGCGGAUGGUCUUCCCUGAACAGACGAGAGCUGCUCCCUCCUCAGUCAGGGCUGGAUGCGUAGCUCGCUCCCCUGCUCGAUCCUCUGCACGAGAAUAUACAUUGCAUUUCUGGAAUCUGGCAAACACUCUCCCAAAGCAGCGGUAUCACUUUACUCUGGCCUUUG